GCGGAAAAUCUACAUAGACUUGAUUUUGCAUCAAAUAUAUAUUAAAUAGAUUUUAAAUAUUUAUAUAAAAAUAAAAAUUUAAAUAAUAUUUUUUUAUUAAUUUUUUUUAAAUAAAAUUUUUUGACUAAUUUUUUUUGGAUAAAUUUUUAAAUUGUGACAAAUAAUAUGGAGCAAAUCCGGCACAUAUUUUAUACGGACUAGAAGGUAUUAUAAUAUGAG
rnacentral:lncRNA from 1 species